AGUGAACGCUGGCGGCGUGCCUAAUACAUGCAAGUCGAACGGAGUGGGGCACGGGUGAGUAAUAUAUAGCUAAUCUGCCCCUUGCUGGAGGACAACAGUUAGAAACGACUGCUAAUACUCCAUAGGAAGGGAUGAGACGAUAUCGUAUCAGCUAGUCGGUGGGGUAACGGCCUACCGAGGCGAUGACAGGUAACUGGUCUGAGAGGAUGAUCAGACACAUAUGAAGUGAGACACGAGCCAAACUCCUACGGGAGGCAGCAGGAGGGAAUCUUGCGCAAUGGGGGAAACCCUGACGAAGCAACGCCGCGUGGAGGAUGACACUUUGCUGAACGUAAACUCCUUUUGUUAGGAAAGCGGUACCUAACGAAUAAGCACCGGCUAACUCCGUGCCAGCAGCCGCGGUAAUAC
rnacentral:rRNA from 1 species